rnacentral:rRNA from 1 species
GAUGAACGCUCGCGGCGUGCUUAACACAUGCAAGUCGAACGAACCUUCGGGUUAGUGGCGGACGGGUGAGUAACGCGUGAGAAUCUGCCCUCAGGAGGGGGAUAACGGUUGGAAACGACCGCUAAUACCCCAUAUGCCUAUUGGUGAAACGAAUUUCGCCUGAGGAUGAGCUCGCGUCUGAUUAGCUAGUUGGUGAGGUAAUUGCUCACCAAGGCUUCGAUCAGUAGCUGGUCUGAGAGGAUGAUCAGCCACACUGGGACUGAGACACGGCCCAGACUCCUACGGGAGGCAGCAGUGGGGAAUUUUCCGCAAUGGGCGAAAGCCUGACGGAGCAACGCCGCGUGAGGGACGAAGGCCUCUGGGCUGUAAACCUCUUUUCUCAAGGAAGAAGAUAUGACGGUACUUGAGGAAUAAGCCACGGCUAAUUCCGUGCCAGCAGCCGCGGUAAUACGGGAGUGGCAAGCGUUAUCCGGAAUUAUUGGGCGUAAAGCGUCCGCAGGCGGCUUUUCAAGUCUGCUGUUAAAGCGUGGAGCUUAACUCCAUCAUGGCAGUGGAAACUGAAAGGCUUGAGUAUGGUAGGGGCAGAGGGAAUUCCCGGUGUAGCGGUGAAAUGCGUAGAUAUCGGGAAGAACACCAGUGGCGAAGGCGCUCUGCUGGGCCAUUACUGACGCUCAUGGACGAAAGCCAGGGGAGCGAAAGGGAUUAGAUACCCCUGUAGUCCUGGCCGUAAACGAUGAACACUAGGUGUCGGGGGAAUCGACCCCUUCGGUGUCGUAGCUAACGCGUUAAGUGUUCCGCCUGGGGAGUACGCACGCAAGUGUGAAACUCAAAGGAAUUGACGGGGGCCCGCACAAGCGGUGGAGUAUGUGGUUUAAUUCGAUGCAACGCGAAGAACCUUACCAGGGUUUGACAUCCUGCGAACCUCUUAGAAAUUUGAGGGUGCCUUCGGGAAUGCAGUGACAGGUGGUGCAUGGCUGUCGUCAGCUCGUGUCGUGAGAUGUUGGGUUAAGUCCCGCAACGAGCGCAACCCACGUUUUUAGUUGCCAGCAUUUAGUUGGGCACUCUAGAAAGACCGCCGGUGAUAAACCGGAGGAAGGUGUGGAUGACGUCAAGUCAUCAUGCCCCUUACACCCUGGGCUACACACGUACUACAAUGCUACGGACAAAGGGCAGCAAACUCGCGAGAGCUAGCAAAUCCCAUAAACCGUGGCUCAGUUCAGAUCGUAGGCUGCAACUCGCCUACGUGAAGUAGGAAUCGCUAGUAAUCGCAGGUCAGCAUACUGCGGUGAAUACGUUCCCGGGCCUUGUACACACCGCCCGUCACACCAUGGAAGUUGGCCAUGCCCGAAGUCGUUACUCCGACCCUUGUGGAGGAGGACGCCGAAGGUGGGGCUAAUGACAGGGGUG